GGCGGCUGAAACGGCAGAAGCAGACCAUGCAUUAUCAUUAUACAUGUUUUUAUAUGCGGAGUAAAACGUAUUGACAAAGUUUAGUAUAAUUUUAUAGCACACUCUUACAGAUUAAGUAAACAUUCGACAAUGUAACUUAUUCUGGGUGCAAGGAGAGUUAUCGAAGACUAUGUUUUGGAAAGAAUUUGCCGUGUGAAAAGUGACGCGCCGUUAGACCUUGAACAUUAUCUUACGAUAUAAAGAGGGUGUAUAAACUAUUUUGGAUCCAACCUGGCUUUCAAAGAGUUGUAGCAUUAAAGUACGGACAUUAGCGCUGAACAGGACUUCACAACGACAACGCUAUAGUGAAGGUAUGGUGUGCUAUAAAUACGUUUUGCUGUUUAUAUAUGCAUCGUGUUAUUCAGUUAUUGACUUUAUAUUAAAUACUGUCUUUUGCUCUAUAAUUUGUCAUUUCGCUUAUAUUCGUUUAGCUAAUUAGCUUUAGUUUUAUUAAAUUUGCAUCACGAUUUGACAGCUGCAUUGUUUGGCCAGUUAAUAUAAACAAAUUGUAUCAAAGGAAAAACCUCAGAAUGCUUUCAUUCGGCCACAAUGAACCCAGUGUUAAUAUUUAAUUAACCGUUUUAUGCUAAGUCCAUCAGGGGCCAGUCAAAGGUGAGUUUAUAGCGCCAACCCUGUUAAAAUUUAACCUGCUGUUUUAGUUUGUGUAUUUCUGCACGUCUGUUUAUGUAUUUCAAAGCUGCAGAGAAAUAUUAAAACUCCAAUCCAGACAUGAUCUCUGAUAAAAUAUUUCCAAAUUUAUAAAUAAGCCUGUCAGGAAGUUUGCAAGUUUGCUUUGAAUUUUAGCUUAACCAGCUUUGAACAACGAGCCCCAGAUAGCUAAAAUUUAAAUGCCACAGACUCAAUCACUGUUGACAAAUUGGUCAGACCAAGCCUUGUGUCAAUGGUUCAAGCCGGUUAGUUAUUAAAAUGAGUAUAUAUUAAAACAUAAGAAUAAGAUGCAAUUAUGCAAUUUUGGUGAUUUGAACUGAUGAAACAUAUUUAUUAUACAUAAUACCAGUCGCUCGAAUGUCAAGGUGAACGAGAAACAGGGUGGGUGCCACACUCUUUAUACUGUAGUUUGCUCAUACAUGUCCUUGCCUUACUUAGAAAGUAUAUGUAUGUAUUGUUCAUUCGACAUUGGAUCGCAAUACCAGAGUCAAAGGCUAUUUGCCAGACGGUGGCUGACACAAGUUAUCCUUGUUUGUUCAAUGUGUGGUUAAGUUGUGUAGAUGUCUGCCUACUGUGCUAGGUUACAUAUUGAAUCACAAGGUCACUCUUAAUUUGUUUUGUCAAGUUGCAUUAUGCAUCUACUUUAUUACUUUACUCUGUCUAAUGCCAUAUGAUUCUACUUACUCGAGGUCUCCCAUGAAUGGGUUAAAAACUAUUCUGCUGAAUUGGGUUAAUUGUAUGUAAUUAGGUUCUGGGAUCAGGUCAGCUUUCAUACAGUGUUUAAAUUGUAGCACUAUCAGACGUGGCAUUGUCCACCUAUAGAAGGAAUUUGGUAUAAAUAUUGUUUGUACACAAUUCCUGUUUUUUUGGCAGUCAAAUCGCCCAUUUGGGCACUUUCUCGAUAUAUAAGCAACUGAAAUAGCCCAAUCAUAAUACUGAAGCUUAGGGAUUGCAAGGACUAAAAUAUACACUAGCCCAUAGCCUACUGCAAAUUUCAGACCCUGCUUGACUCCAGUAUAGUAUCAGUUUACCAGGCAUUCUGGAAACCCUUUGCAGUCAAACCCAGAGAUUUGUCUUUGGCAAAUUUUUAUCCAAACGCAUGAUGAAGUUGUCUCAGUGGACCAUAUAAACAACCCUUAAUACAGUACCGGUAUCUAUGCAGCAGUUUUUGACAUGGAUAUUUCAUUACAUAAUAAGGGAUGAACUGAUGAUUUGUAAUAUCAAGAGUCAUUGUUUAUAAUAAUUACAAUUGUUUUCAAGGUUGCAAAGGGAGACAUCAGUCUUGAUGAGCUCAAAGUGCUGGCUAAAGAGGUUAAAUCAAUUAGACCUAUUCAAGGGAUAAUCUCUUCUUUCCUUGGAAAACCAUGCGAGAUUAUAAUUGCAAAAGAACUUCCAGAGUGCACAAUAGCAGAACAGUUG